UCUUAGAACCUCUCAUUUCCUUUCCAUCGUGGAAAUCUAUCCUCAAGGAAAUAACUUCUCAGUGUUCCAUCUGCUGUUCUACUACUCCUCAGGGAUUAUUCAGGACCCCUCCCUUCCCUACACAUCAAGCUCGAGGAUUUACCCCUCCCUUCCCUACACAUCAAGCUCCAGGAUUAGCCCCCACCAAGGACUGGCAAAUUAGCUUUACUCAACGUGCCCCAAGUCAGAUAACUAAAAUACCUCUUAGUGUAGGUAGACACUUUCACUGGAUGGGUAGAGGCCUUUCCUGCAGGAUCUGAG
rnacentral:lncRNA from 1 species